rnacentral:rRNA from 1 species
AACGCGAAGAACCUUACCUGGGCUCGAAAUGCAGAGGAAGAUGUCAGAAAUGGCUUCGUCCGAAAGGACUUCUGUAUAGGUGCUGCAUGGCUGUCGUCAGCUCGUGCCGUGAGGUGUUUGGUUAAGUCCAGCAACGAGCGCAACCCUUAUCAUUAGUUGCCAACACGUUAAGGUGGGGACUCUAAUGAGACUGCCUAGGUUAACUAGGAGGAAGGUGAGGAUGAUGUCAAGUCCGCAUGGCCUUUAUGUCCAGGGCUACACACGUGCUACAAUGGUCGGUACAGAGGGCUGCAAGACCGUAAGGUGGAGCAAAUCCCAGAAAACCGAUCUCAGUUCAGAUUGUGGUCUGCAACUCGACCACAUGAAGUCGGAAUUGCUAGUAAUGGCGUGUCAGCUACAACGCCGUGAAUACGUUCCCGGGCCUUGUACACACCGCGCAUA